rnacentral:rRNA from 1 species
GACGAACGCUGGCGGCGUGCUUAACACAUGCAAGUCGAACGAAGAGCGAUGGAAGCUUGCUUCUAUCAAUCUUAGUGGCGAACGGGUGAGUAACGCGUAAUCAACCUGCCCUUCAGAGGGGGACAACAGUUGGAAACGACUGCUAAUACCGCAUACGAUCUAAUCUCGGCAUCGAGGAUAGAUGAAAGGUGGCCUCUACAUGUAAGCUAUCACUGAAGGAGGGGAUUGCGUCUGAUUAGCUAGUUGGAGGGGUAACGGCCCACCAAGGCGAUGAUCAGUAGCCGGUCUGAGAGGAUGAACGGCCACAUUGGGACUGAGACACGGCCCAGACUCCUACGGGAGGCAGCAGUGGGGAACCUUCCGCAAUGGACGAAAGUCUGACGGAGCAACGCCGCGUGAGUGAUGACGGCCUUCGGGUUGUAAAGCUCUGUUAAUCGGGACGAAAGGCCUUCUUGCGAAUAGUGAGAAGGAUUGACG